UUUAAGCUUAUACAAUAUCUAGAGUGUGUUAUAAGUUUGAGUGGAAGUCUAAGAGUGUGAAUUAUGUGUGCACUAAGAGGGUUGAUAGAAUAAGGUACAUAUGCACUCAGGAAUUUCCUGGGAUGUUCUACUGAUGAACUGUCAAUUCAUUUGAAAAGCAUUUCCUCAAAAGAUGACUUUUUUUUGACAUUCCAAGUAUUUAGGUUUAUUGAUUGAACGGGGUGAGGGCAGUAGAUUAUAGUUUGGGUUGGGGUGGAGUCCUCUGAUUUAAUCAUUAUCACCUUAGAUAAACUAAAAGAUGAUGGGAGACUAAGAAAGAACAUGCAUUGAAAUCCCAACCCUGCCAGUUAUUUGCUGUAUAAGUUUAGACAAAUUUAAUUUCUCUGAGUCACCUAUGAAAUGAAAACAUUAACAUUCAGUCAAACUCUAUGAAUUGCCAAUAUUCAGCCUUUUGACCCACAACAUGGAAAUCUCAUGCGACUCAGAGUAAAAUUUACCUUAGCGAAUUAUUAUGAGGGUUUGGUGAAGUCAAUAUGUGGAGUUUCCACUACAUGGGAUGCUCCAUAAACAUUAGAUUCCCUUUCUUAUAUGAAAAUGUCUUUCAUAUAGCAUUCAACAGAUGAUUUUUGAAUAAAAUAAUCACUGAAGGAAGCCGAUUUCUAUGUAUGAAUAUGAUGAGGUCAGUCCUAUAUAUUCUCACCCCACCAAUUACUUUCUUUUUUUUCUAAAUUACCCUGGGUUCUUUUUUUUUUAAAUUAUUAGAUAUUUUCUUUAUAUACAUUUUAAAUGCUAUCCUGAAAGUUCCCUAUACCCUUCCUCCGCCCUGCUCCCCUACCCACCCACUCCCGCUUCUUGGCCCUGGCAUUCCCCUGUAUUGGGGCAUAUAAAGUUUGCAAUACCAAGGGGCCUCUCUUCUCUAUGAUGGCUGACUAGGCCAGAAAGAUGAUAUUUCUAAUGCCCAUAACAGUGCGAUUUCUUCGUAGUGAUUGUUGGUUGUUUUACCCAACAUAUUUAAAAAGGAGAAAUUAUGUUCACACAGCAAACAGAGAUGGAGUUGUCUCUCUUCGUGUGCUCCUUUCAUUCUUCUUUUCCUUCCUCCUCCUCCUUCUCCUCCUCUUCCCCCUCCUCCUCCUCCUCCUCCUCCUCCUUCUCCUCCUCCUCCUCCUCCUCCUCCUUCUUCUUCUUCUAUCACUAUGGCCUUUUAAAUUCCCAAGGUAGGAGCCUUGUAGAUUUCUUUAUUCCCAAGGCAGCAAAUUUUCAGAAGUGGUGUUUUACUCUUUAAGUCUUUUAAUAUCUACCAGUGGACCAUAACCUUCUGGCAGUGGACAGAGGCAGCUUGCUAAUACCAGGCUAGUGUUAACAAAUUGCUUCAGUGUGAACCCUGACUUAGAGCAGGUUCCCUGGGUAAAACUAAAUCAGAUCAGAUUAAAAUUACUGAAAGUUCAUGGGGCAACAUAAAACUCCUUGUAUGAAGGAGUAUAAUAGAGAAAAUAUACUGUAGACAUGACAUUUUAGAAAGGACUAUGUGUACAUAAUGGAAGGCAAGAGAUAAUGCAGAUAUGAUGUAGGCACACUGACCUUACUUCUGCAUCAGUUUCAGUGUUCUUGAGAAGAUGGGUGCCUGUAUAUGUCAGGAUUCACUCCUUCUACCUGCAGAUCUAUGCUUUUAAUCUCUGAUUUGUACUUUAACAGAUAGUGGUUAAUGUGUCUCAGUGGUAGGGCACUUGCCUAGGAUGCACAUGGCCUAGUU
rnacentral:lncRNA from 1 species